rnacentral:misc_RNA from 1 species
AUUUCUCCCUCUUUUAACUUUAUCGACGAAGGCGUUCAGUACAAACAAUUUAAAGACCACAAAGGCAAGAUAACCAUAGCCAAAUAAAAAAGACCACAGUACAAGAAAAACCACAUCUUCAUUUCCACAGACAAAUAAAAAAAGACCCAGAGAGUUCAAACAAUUCAAAGACUACAAAGGCAAGAUACAACAGUUAGGCUCCUAAUGAAUGAUUAACAAUCCCCUGAAGGGAAGGUCUAAAAUGCAAAUUUUCUUGUGUUAAGCAACUAGUUUCACAGGAUACUUAUCUAUACAGUCUUCCCAAGGACCAUUACGAGAUUGUUUCACAUUCCGGAGUGCCUCCCACACUGCACUGUUACAUUUGAAGCCACUUCCGAAUGCAAUCUGCCACACACGGUUACCCUUGCGCAUCCUUCUUUUGGCCUCAACAUAGGCCAACUCGUACCAAAUCGAACUUGAUGAAGUAUUCCCAAAACGGUGGAGUGUCAUCCUAGAUGCCUCCACAUGUACAGGCAGGAGCUGCAAAUUCUUCUCUAGCUCAUCAAUCACAGCCCUCCCUCCAGCAUGUAUACAAAAAUGAUCAAAUGCCAGCUUGAAAUCUGGAAUAUAAGGCUUCAUUUUCUUGUUGAACAACUUCUUAACCACCAGAGUUGCAAAGAACAAAAGUUGCUCACUAAUUGGAAGCACCAGAGGACCCAGCGUAGUAAUGUUCGCUUUUAAAGCCUCACCAGCAAUUGCCAUCAAAUCUUUUGACAAUGAAACACCAGUCUUCCCUGCAUCGUCCUGUUCUUGAUACACACACCGAAACGCCUUAUCAUCUGCCCCGCGAUGAGUCCUCACAACAUGAACAAGCUUGUACUUAGCCCGCUUUUUAUCACCAGAUCUAUUAGAAAGCAAAACCGCAGAACCCCCAACUCGAAACAAACAAUUGGGUAUCAACAUAGACUUCUUAUUUCCAAAAUACCAAUUCUGGGUAAUAUUCUCGGUACUGACAACAACUGCAUAAGUAUUCCGAUGAACUUGCAACAAAUCUUUAGCGAGAUCCACCGCAAUAACUCCAGCACUACAAC